AUAAGCCCUUCUAGACCUGGCUACAAAUAUUAAACCUUGCCCAAACCAACAACCAUUUCAUUCGUUGGACUCCAAGCGUAGUGCAGUAGCAUUUUUCCAAAAGAGAAAAUGAAGUUCACCUGUGUGUUACUGGUUGUAGUGUUGGCCUUUGCUUGUGUAGCAACCGAGUCGACUGACAAUCAAUUUGAUGAGGAAUUGAAUAUCGCCUUCCAAAAACGGAGACCAUGUGUUGAGGUAGGAUACUUCUGUUUUGCCCACAGCCAAUGCUGUCGUGCCGGGGUACAGUCGGUCAGCUCAUGCAGCUGGCAUUUCAAAUGCGAUGAGGCUGGUUAUGGAAAAUAAACCGUACCAACAUGUUCAUCAAGAAUAUGAGAAAAUAAAAAUUUAUGAUUAGAAGAAUCA